rnacentral:rRNA from 1 species
UACGUAGGGUGCAAGCGUUGUCCGGAAUUAUUGGGCGUAAAGAGCUCGUAGGCGGUUUGUCGCGUCUGCUGUGAAAACUCGGGGCUUAACUCCGGGCCUGCAGUGGGUACGGGCAGACUAGAGUGCGGUAUGGGAGAUCGGAAUUCCUGGUGUAGCGGUGAAAUGCGUAGAUAUCUGGAGGAACACCGGUGGCGAAGGCGGCAUCCUGGACCAACACUGACGCUGAGGAGCGAAAGCCAGGGGAGCAAACGGG